AACACGCUCCUUUCACCUGUCGCACGCCGGGCUCCUCGGACGAGUCCAGGGGAAGUUUCUUCAGGACGACAUUGUCGAAGUCGAGCCGCUCCAGCGCGGAACGACUCACGGCCAGACCCAUUUCGUCCAUCCCGACCGAGCCUCCAACUUGAGCCAGGCCCAUCUCCACCUGCACCUGAUGGCAGCUAUAAGCUGUGCCACGUGAAUAGCAUCCUCAUCUUUAAGCACUCUCCUUCUGGAAAAGAAUUGACUCAAAUCAUUGUCUGUUUCACUUCAUUUUUCACUAUUACCAGCUUCAAAAUACUCAAGUAAAAGGUUUGUUGCAAUAAAACUGCUACUACAAUUGAUCAAAAAAGGAAAUAUAAGAAAGUGUAGCCCAUUGCUGCCCACCUCUGCUAUUACUUAAUGAAAAGAUUAAAAAAAAUACCUCAUGAUUUCACUGAUGUUGAGAUGCUUAUCCCAGUUUCUUUCAAUGCCAGGGACAUGACCCAUUCCGACAACUCCCACCACGACAGCAGGUACUUCUACAAGAGUGUAUAGAGAGUCAUACGUCAUAAUACACAAACAAACCACAGAUUAAUGAAUAAUAAAUUAAGGAAUAUAUUGUAAUAUUUACUUGAGUCUAGUCAAAGAGAUGUUUUUUGAUGAUGAAGUAUUUUGGAGAGGAAAAUCCCACCACAGACAAUAGAUGCAAAUGAAAACAUGCAAAUGCCAGCUCUUCUUUUUGUGAAAAAGGUGUGGUUUUGUGUGGUCAAUGCACAAAAGUGCGAAAGACAAAAUAUUAAAUUGAUUUAUAUGAA